CUACGGAGGGUGCAAGCGUUAAUCGGAAUUACUGGGCGUAAAGCGCGCGUAGGCGGUUUGAUCAGUCGGAUGUGAAAGCCCUGGGCUCAACCUGGGAACUGCAUUCGAUACUGUCAGACUAGAAUAUGGUAGAGGGUAGUGGAAUUCCUGGUGUAGCGGUGAAAUGCGUAGAUAUCAGGAGGAACAUCAGUGGCGAAGGCGACUGUCUGGCUCAACACUGACGCUGAGGUGCGAAAGCGUGGGUAGCAAACAGGAUUAGAAACCCUUGUAGUCC
rnacentral:rRNA from 1 species